AUUGAACGCUGGCGGCAUGCCUUACACAUGCAAGUCGAACGGCAGCGGACCUUCGGGUGCCGGCGAGUGGCGAACGGGUGAGUAAUAUAUCGGAACGUGCCCAAUCGUGGGGGAUAACGUAGCGAAAGUUACGCUAAUACCGCAUAAGCCCUGAGGGGGAAAGUGGGGGACCGCAAGGCCUCACGCGAAUGGAGCGGCCGAUGUCAGAUUAGCUAGUUGGCGGGGUAAAGGCCCACCAAGGCGACGAUCCGUAGCUGGUCUGAGAGGAUGAUCAGCCACACUGGAACUGAGACACGGUCCAGACUCCUACGGGAGGCAGCAGUGGGGAUAUUGGACAAUGGGGGCAACCCUGAUCCAGCCAUGCCGCGUGUGUGAAGAAGGCCUCGGUUGU
rnacentral:rRNA from 1 species